CUUAUUGUAUAAAUAGGACCUCAUUGGCAAUACUAAAGCGUUUUGAUGUUAUGAAGCAAGCCAAACACUUCAAAGUUUUGGCUUGCUGUAUUUUGGAAGUUUGGACAGCUUUUUCAUGGCUCUGAAUCAGAUUACUAUCAAAGAUAACUAUUAUUGAAGAGCUUCUGGAUGAACUUGGGUUCCCAAUGGUAUCUCAGGUUUGGAUACCAUCAAAUCAGGAUGGCCACAUCUGAUACCACAAAACCACAUUAAGAACAUGUUCUGGCAACAAUGAGUUCUUAGUGAUGCCUUUUGGAUUGACAAUGCUCCCUUCAGUUUUUAAAAGCACUUAAGGAGUUGUGGAUAAGUUGGUAGACAAAGAAGGCUUUUAUCAGAGGCAGACAGAUCAUGGAUGCAGUGCUUAUUGCUAAUGAAGCAAUUGAUUCUAGAGUGUCCCAGUGUAUACUAUGCAAACUUGAUAUUGAGAAAGCAUCUGGCCAUGUGAAUUGGGAUUUCAUUCUAAUUAUGCUCAGACAAAUGGGAUUUGGUAGCAGAUGGAUCGGUUGGAUCAAGUUUUGUAUUUCAACUGUUAAGUUUUAGUACUCAUCAAUGGGUCUCUUGAAGGCUUUUUCAGUGAACACAGAGGAGUUAGGCAAGGGGAUCCCUUAUCACCCUUCUUUUUCAUCAUAGCUAUGGAGGGACUUAACAAUAUAUUGAAGAUAGCCAAGACAACUGGACAGGGAUUUGAAGUCAGUAAGGUUGCUGGGAAUAGUAUGGAGAUCACACACCUACAAUAUGCUCAUGAUACACUAAUAUUUUGUGGGGCUGAGGAAGAGCAAUUGCUGAUUUUGAGACUUAUACUAGUCUACUUUGAAGCCAUAUAUGGUAUACAUAUAAACUGGAACAAAAGCCAUUUGUAUCCAAUUAAUGUGGUUCCGGAUAUGGAACACCUCUCACAAACCUUGGGAGGAGUGAUAGGUAUUCUGCCAUCAGUACACUUGGCCAUGCCUUUGGGGGCAAAGUCUGGAGCCAUAGACAUUUGGAACCCAAUAAUGAAAAAUUGUGAAAACAAAACUAGCCAGAUGGAGAUCAUAAUACCUCUCCUUGGGAGGUAGAUUAACACUGAUAAACUCUGUUCUGGAUGCUCUCCCUACAUAUAUGCUAUCUAUCUUCCAUAUUCCCCAGUAGUUCAGAGGUUGGACAAAAUUAGAAGAAACUUCUUGUGGCAAGGAAAUAAGGAAAGAAAAGGCUUUCACGUAGUCAAGUGGAAGAACAUCCUCAUUAGUAAGAUGUAAGGUGGAUUAGGUAUCAAGAAUCUCAAAAACCAUAACAAAGCUCUUAAGGUGAAAUGGCUAUGAGGUACCAUCAGGGGGACCAAUGGUAUAGGGAGAUCAACAACAAAUAUAAGGAUCUAAAUAAAUGGGUAACCAAAGAGGUAAAUACCCCCAAUGGGAUUAGCCUUUGGAAAUCCAUCCGAAUAUUUUGGCCCUUCUUCAGUAAUUAGUCAACUGUCAAGGUACAAAAUGGCAGAAAAACCAGUUUCUGGUUUGAUAAAUGGUUGGGUAGUAUGAGCCUCAAAGAUCGUUUUCCUGACAUCUUUGCACUGGCUCAACACCAACAGAAGACUGUCACUGAAAUGCGGACACAAUAUCUGAUUUUCAGAAGAAAUCUGAAUGACCGGGAAAUUCCCAGGAUACUUGAAUUGUUCAAGGUUUUGGAGAAUUUUCAAGGUAUACAAACAGGCGAGGAUUAUUUGUGGUGGCAGGGGCACAAGAAAGGUAGUUACAAGGUGAAAGAAGGAUACAAACAGAUAAGUACUGGUGGCAUUCAAGACUUCAAAUGGCCUUGGAAGCAAAUCUGGAGGAUCAAAGUGCCACACAAAGUGGCAUGCUUUACAUGGCUACUAGCCAAUGAAGCAGUUUUGACAUUGGAUAAUGUGGCCAAGAGAGGAAUCUCUCUAUGCAACAAAUGUUCCUUGUGUGGGAAGGCUAAUGAGACAGUGAGACAUCUCUUCUUACAUUGCAACUUUACUGGGCAGAUGUGCAGAUUUUCCUUAAUCUCAGAGGCGUAUCUUGGUGUAUGCCUAGCAAGAUUGAUGAGACUCUAUUCGGUUGGAAGAUGGUUGGAGUUGGGGCUACAAACAGAGAAAGAUGGAGGAUGAUCCCUGCUAGUAUUUACGGACUAUAUGGAGGGAGAGAAACGAGAGAUGUUCUGAGAAUAGGAACAACAACCUGCAGGAAGUUAAGCUUAAGUUUGUUUUGUUGUUAUGCUUUUGGUGUAUAAAUGUCUACUCCAAUGAAACUGAGUCAAUCAUAGAUGUUUUAGGAUCCGUUUAGAUUUGGUUCAGUUUUUUGGAUAGAUUAUACUUCUUUUCUGCUUUUGGAAAUAUGGUUUUCAGUACUAAGUACUAUUUGAAAUACAAAUGUUAGCAGUUUAAAAAAAAAGCACUUAAGGAGGUUCAUCCUGGUAUUCAUUGAUAAUCAUGUGUAUCACUUCAGGAUCACUUUUCAGCUAUUACAGUAAAGAUGGAACUUUUUAAAUGGAAUGAAGGAGCUACCAAGGCAUUUCAGCACUUUAAGGAUGCGUUGAUAUCUGCUUCUGUGUUAGCUGUUCUUAACUUUAACUUGAGUUUCACUGUGGAAACUGAUGGUUGUGAUGUUGGCAUAGGAGCUGCUAUAUGCAUCAUGGGCAACCUAUUGCUUACUUGAGCAAAGGCCUUUCUCUACACCACAAAGUUAUGUCUGUGUAUGAAUAAGAGCCUUUUGUUUUGGCAAUGUCUGUAUCUCACAAGUAAACCCUUCAUUUUCAAAACUGAUCAAAAAAUUCCUGCUUGAACAAUAGUUUCAUAUUGGAUCCCAGUUGAAAAUGAUUACCAAGCUGAUGCAAUUUGAUUUCACUAUUGAACAUAGGAAAGAUAAGGAGAAUAUAGUUGUUUAUGCUUUAUCUCGACUUCCUACAAUUGAGUUGGCUGCACUAACCUUAGCUGUUGUCAGGUCAGCCUUAUUGCAGAGUAGAUGUUGUAAUUGUUGUUGAUUAGGAAUAUGCGGCCUUGUUUAUCUUAUAGAAGUUGUAAAAGGAUAUGGAAGACAACAUAUCCUUGUUUAUCUUGUUGAUUAGGAAUAUGCGACCUUGUUUAUCUUGUAGAAGUUGUAAAAGAUAUGGAAGACAAGGGAUUUCCAUAUGGUAAAAGUUGAGAUGAAGAAAGCAUAUGAUUCUUUGGAGUGGACAUAUUCUGGCUGAACUUAAGAUACCUGCCAAAGUCAUCAAAUGGAUAAUGCAAUGUGUUACAACAAUACUUAUUCCAUUCAGAUAAAUGGGCAUCGUUCAACACUAUUUAAAGCAAAAAGAGGGGUAAGACAAGGAGAUCUAAUGUCCCCUUUUCUUUUUAUGAUUGCUAUGGACUAUUUGACAAGAAUUUUGAAGACCUUGUAAACAAAUCCCGAUUUCCAUUAUCAUCCUAGAUGCAAAAAUCAGAUGAUGGUGCAAUUGAGCUUUGUCUGAUGACUUAUUGAUGUUCUGCAGGGGUGACUUAAAAUCAGUAAAGUGUCUCGGUCAAUGUUUUAUGAUGUUCUCCAAUGCUUCUGGCCUGUUUGCAAACAUAGAUAAGAGCAAUGUAUGUAUACUUUGGUGGAGUCAACCAACAGAUACAAGAGGAGAUAUUGAAGGAAUUGCAGUUUGUUUAGGGGGAUCUUCCAUUUAAAUAUCUUGGAGUUCCUUUGACUACUAAAAGGAUUUUCAUAGUAUAAUGCAAGCCACUUCUAGGCAAGAUGCUAAGUAGGAUUACAAGCUGGAACAAGGCUGCUAUUGAAAACUCUAUUAGCAGAAUCUAUUUGCAUGGAGAAGGUAGGAUGGAGAUCAGUGGCGUGGAAAAAUAUUGAAGCUCCUAAAUGGAUAUUCAUUCUGUAUCUCGCAGUAAAUGGAAGGCAUGCAACUAAAGAUAGAUUGGAGAAAUGGCCGGGGUAUAAUCCAGUCCCCUACAUGUCCUCUAUGUCAGCUAGUGAAUGAGGAGCUAGAUCAUCUAUUUUUCUAGUGUUUAUGUGCUACAAAUAGUGUACUAACUUGACAAGGGGUUAGGAGAGGCAGUAUGAACUGGAAAGAUAAGGUACAUUGGGCAAAAGUAGCAUAACACUUGCUUAUGGAAGGAGCACAACAGGAUAUUCCAACAGAAGCAGCAGUCAGCAAUACUUUAUAUUAUUUGAAUUGUUCUUAUAUUAUGACUAUAUAUCAAAAGCAGAGGUGUUUAACCUCUACAAAUUGCACUUUCAAUCUUGGCAAAUUACCCUUUUUCUUUCCUGUGUUUUGAAUAGCAGCAAUUACCGUCUCUGUGGCGGCUAGAUCUAAGUGGCUCCCAAAGCCUGAACAAAAAUACCAGAUUUCAGGGGUAUGCUUAAUUUGGAGUAUAUGUAUCUAAAUGAAUGUAUGAGUCUCGAAGAGAUUCACCAUUCCCCGGUCUGUUGCAGAAAACUCAUUGAGUUAAGUUUAUAUGAUUGUUAAUGCGGAAUCUCUUAAAUAGCUGAAUCUACGCGGAAUCUCUUAUCAUGUUGCAACAGGCUGUUUGAGUUGCCAAGUUUCAGGGGGAUGCCAAACUUGAAUAUUUUGAAACUCAAUUGCUGCAAUAUAUUAGAUGGAGGACUUCCGGAAGACAUUGGAUGCUUAUCCUCUUUGAAAGAGUUGAGUCUCAUUGGAAAUAAUUGUGAGUAUUUUCCUCGAAUCAUAGUCCAACUUGGUGCUCUUCUAUGCUUGGAUAUAUCACGUCAACCUUACACAGCUGCCAGAAUAUCCACAACAAUUACAUACAAUUAAUGCAGAUUGGAGCAAUGAUUCGAUAUGUAAUUCAUUGUUUCGGAUUAUCUUAUCAUUGCAGCAUGAUAUCUCUGCUUCAGAUUCCUUGCCACUACGAGUACUUACCUCUAGAAAGAAUAUACCUAGUUGGUUCCACCAUUGGGGAACAGGUACAAGUGUAAUGAUCAAUUUGCCUGAAAAUUGGUAUGUACGUGAUAACUUCUUGGGAUUUGCUGUAUGUUAUUCUGGCAAAUUAUUUGACAUCACAGCUAACUUGAUUCCCUUAAUGUGAUGAUGGGAUGUCAUUGAUGAACCAAAAACUUGCCUUAUACAACCAUUUGAAUACGGCACAAGUACUCUACAACCAUUCAUUACGAUGUCCAUCAGCUGAGAUUCAUUUUUUCUUGGUACCGCAUGCUGCCUUAUUGAAUACAUCUAAGGUAAAUGGAAAAACACCAAGAAUUAUGGAUUUCGUUUGUUGUAUAAAGAUGAAGGAAAGCUUAAGUCCUUGUUACAAAUUACGAGAAGUAGUGAUGAACUAAGAGAGAACUCAGUGAAGAAUGAAGCGAGUCGCUCCUCUUAUAAGAAACAAAUGUCACAUUUCUUAUAUUCGCUGGAACUCUGUUUUUGAGAAUCUGCAGCAACAAGUAGAGUGACAGUGUUAUGAAUAUAACUUAGCUGGAGGACCUACGUGAGAAGAUGCCAAAUUACAUUUGGGACCCUGAGAAGAUUCAUAUAUAUAGAAGAGGGAAAUACUCAAUUAGGAUUAUGCUAUGAACUUGUCUCUUGUUUCUUAGUUUCUUUGUCUAAUCUGGAACCUCCCUUCCUUCAUCCUUUUUGUUUCUACUUGUUCCCUUGGAAGGAUUUGUUACUAGUUUUGGAGGAAUUAGAAUGAUGAACUCUUAUAGUUGUACGUGUAAUUCCAAUUAUCCAUUUCAAUACAAUAUGAGUUCAUUACAUUGGUGCUUUCAUUGUUCUUACUCCAUACCUCUUUACUCUUCUUCCAUGCUUGAUGAUCAAUUCAACGCCCUCUCAGAAAUCUGAAUCGUUGAAGGUGCUGCAAAAAUCGAUGAAGGAUCUACAGGCAAAAAACAAGUGUAUGCUCAAGGAGAUGCGAUUGGACUCCACUUCCACUGAUACUCCAGAUAUUUCAGAUGAUAAAACUAUGACCUCUGUGCUAGAGUCAGCUUGCGAUGAUAAUGACACUGAGAUUUCUGAUACUGUGAAAUCACAUUUGGAUUCUCAACUUCUUAUACUUGAUGUUGGAUAUGCAAUACACAAGACCAUUUCUCCCUCUGCAUGAUUAUGGAUAGAAUAACAUUGGUCCAUAUGAUUAAAUACCUACAACUUCCAUUUGAUCCUGGUGUAUACGUCUCAUAUUCCUCUGUGACAUGUGUAACGAUAUUACAAGUAUUAGACAUAUUGAAUAUCCUUGCGUAACUGCUAACCAUGCUGUUGGGGUUGAAUUCUUCUGGUGCAUUAGAGAAGUAUAUUGAUGCAUAUGACUUCAUCCAGUAUUUUUAUUUUUUCAACUUCUACUUGUCCUGGCAGCCAUACAGUAGAGUUGCUUCCGAUCACGGAGACAAUAGUUUUAUUGUGCUUGGGUUGUUGGAGUAGCUAAAUACCAUAGGUGAGGGGCCUGUUGAUUUAUGGUAUAGAUCUGAUGUCGCAAUCAAUCGAACAAUAGGUGUUCUGCGAAGUGGCAAUUGGCCUGGGUUUAUAAUCUCCGCUGACCAAGUAUUGUAUAUUUUUGUGACAAGUGAAUGUGCAAGAACAGUAUUUGGACGUUUGGGGAACCUCAAAUGGUCUUGCAGCAAUGAUAUAAAUCAGAGAGCUGGUGUAAGCUUUGUCUGUGAUGUUCUGAAUGAUGACCUCCAAUAUGAGAAAUGGUACAGUAGUGUUUUUGGACCAGCUACGCGUACUGACUGGUCUUAACCACCUUCAGUUGUCUAAUGGUCACUCAGUUGUUGAAUGGGUUGAUGACUGCUUAGUUGUUGUCUUAUAGAUCAUCUUUGCGAGUUGUAUUCGACCCUUUUAUGGGUUAAUGUUAUUUAGGAUAUCCCUUACAACCAUUUCAAAAAGGAGUAGUCACAUUUUUUCUGAUGCCAAGGUUAGCUUGACUCCUGAUUAGUUUGAACUAUUUAAUCUCAAAACUUCAAAUUUGUAAGUUUGAUCACUGUUGGAUCAAAGAUGGAAUGAUGCUUGAGGAUCUUGUAAAUAAGGCAAUUUUAUUUAUAAAAUAUUGCUUUGAGGUUGAAA